rnacentral:rRNA from 1 species
GACGAACCGUGCGAACGUUGUUCGGAAUCACUGGGCGUAAAGGGCGCGUAGGCGGGAUGGCAAGUCAGUCGUGAAAUCUCUCGGCUCAACCGAGAAACGUCGGCUGAUACUGCCGUUCUUGAGGGAUGCAGAGGAGACUGGAAUUCCCGGUGUAGCGGUGAAAUGUGUAGAGAUCGGGAGGAAUACCGGAGGCGAAGGCGGCUCACUGGGGCUUUUCUGACGCUGAGGAACGAAAGCCAGGGUAGCGAACGGG